AUCACUUUCAUCCGUUUAUUUAACAUUCCUGCGGCAUGCAGAAAACAGCAGCUAAGGAACUUUGUAUUAACAGUCAACAAUGUAUUUAAGGUUUUUGAACAUUUUGGUCUUCCAAUACAAGUCUCUGAUCAAGAAGCAACUUUGAUAUGUGUUGCCUUCUACCGAUUAAAAGCUUUCAAUGAUGAUCAAACGCGAACUUGACCCACCUUGAAGGAGGUUUUGCUACGUGUAUAGACUAUCCCUAAAACAUACAGGGUGUACCAAAACUCUCGAAUGUUCUCAAAUGUGUUUUUUUUUCAUUGAUACUUGCUGCUUAGUUAAUCUAUGCGAUGUUUACACCUGUAUACAGUACAGAUUUUAUUAUAAUUUAACUGUUGCGAAAUGUAUGGAAUAACCCAAAAUAUACAGAGUGUCUUGAAUAAUUUGGAUAACUCCAGUGUUUAUGAUA